rnacentral:pre_miRNA from 1 species
CAAGUACUCCCUCUGUCCCAAAAUUCUUGUCUUAGAUUUGUCUAGAUACGGAUGUAUCUAAUACUAAAAUGUGACUUGAUACAUCCGUAUUUAGACAAAUCUAAGACAAGAAUUUUGGGACGGAGGGAGUAAAAC